GGCGCGCAGCGAUGCCUCAUAUAUAUAUAUAUAGAUCAAGGGUUUCAUUGUCGGCUAGGCACACUACAUAAAUCACAAAACUCUCUACACCUCGAACCCUAAAAAUCAAAGUUGUGUGUUCGUAGUGUGGUUUUGAAGAAGAUGAACAACAAGAUCAUGCAAGUUCAGAAUGUCCUCCAUUAUCGAUCAGCUCCAAAUCCUCUACAGGUUGAACCUGACUAGAAAACGGUUUGAAUAAACAACUUUUGUGGUGUUUUAUGUGGAUCGUUUGUUCAUCAACAAUAUGUUCGCUUGGAAUACAGAACCUGCAUUGGGGGAAGCUCGAAUGUGUUUUCUUGUUUUUAAAUUGUUACCUUGGAUAUGAACUUCUUUAGUGAUGCCCAAAUAGAUUGAAAUUGAAAUUGAAAAAUCAUAGAUAGAAUUGAUCAACGACGAAUUGAUAAACUUCAACGUGACCUAUGGUAUGAUUCGUUGAUGGUAAGACUGAUUAAUUAAACAUGCAUUUCUUCAGGAAUUCAUAAACCUUCUGUCUUUGAGUCAGUCUGCCCUACUGUUUUCUGUUUUCCCCAGUGUAAUUAAUAGUUUUUGAAAUAAUCAUUAUCUAGUAAGUUUGGAAUAAGGGACCACCAAAUCUAAUCAACUAGUGCCUCUGAUGCAUUCUUGAAUAUAUAUAUAUAUAUACAUAUUUGAUUUCAAAUUAUUAAAUUUAGUUUGAAGUAUUGUGUACAUGAAUUUUGGUCAAUGAAGUUGAAAUGUUGAUAUUUGUAUGGAUAAAAAGUUAAACAACUCCAAAAGUGCCAUUUCCUUUUCAUAUUAUCGUGUUUCUUUCCUUAUUAGCAUUGUUUUUCCAAAAAGAAAAUUCGUUUGUUGGUCUAUCAUCUCGUGGCUUUACCUCCUAUGGGUUGCAUGAUUGGUCUUUUGCAAGUGCGACUUUGUUGUGUGAAGCCAGAAUAAUGUUCUCCUCAAUACCAAUGUAGCAUUUAUGCUGCAUUUGGACGUUAAGGGAACAACAUUGCUGUUAAGUUUGCCCAUGUGCUCCCAUGUAAUGUGUGUUAUAUUUAUACACAAUUAGAAUAUCAUAACAAAAAUAAAUAAAUAAAAAUGAAAUCUAUUGUGUCUCAGAGGUUGGAAAUGUGGGUAUGUAAAAGAGUUUUGCUAUGUAUACAAACAAUAUUUUUAUACAAAAAAAUUUAUACAGAAUAAUGUGUUUUUUGUGAUUUUUAAUUUAAAAAAUACUAUCAUCUCAUCAUUUUACAUAAAAAUUGUCUAUAAAAGUUAUGUUUACGCAACCAUUUUUCUUUCCAAAACAGAAAAGAAAAGAUGUUAGUUGAAACUAGGAUACAUGUUUGUUAACUUAAAGGUAUGGCAAUGCAAGGGAGGCAUCAUGAGCAGACUAGGAUCACCUUUUUGCAAAGGUGAAAGUUCUCAAAUCAAAAAGCUUUUUGGUUUUAGGCAUGUGAUGUACCUUUUAUACCCUUUAUUAGGAUUAUUAGUUUUGUGAUUAUCAAUUUUUUUAGAUUGUAUAUUCUAUUUCAGAUUUGGAUUAAUUCAAGAUUAUGAA